UUGAGAUGUGGCUCAGUGGUAGAGCACUUGCCUGGUAUGUAUGAGGCCCUGGAUUCAAUCCCCAGCACUGAAA
rnacentral:tRNA from 1 species